CCUGUGCGGGAGAGCGGGGCCGGGCCGGCUGCCCGCUCCGUGGGGCGGCGGGUGCCGAAGGGGCCGUCGGUGCGGGGCGGCGGCCGGGCGGGAGCGGGCGGGCGGUUGUUGUCGACAUGGACUUUGAUGGUGGUUUCGGCUCUUUGCGGUUCAGGCAGCGGAAUCCGGGGGACGCGGCGUUGGUGGGACGGGGGUGCGAUCCUGCCGGGCGGCUGCGGAGGAAGGAGCAUCCUUCUCCGGGAGUUCCUCCCGGGUGGCCGGAGGCGCGCCGCUGGGAUCGCCUUUGGGAGAUGCUCUGGGCACCGAACCCCCCCAUCCCUCACGGCGCUGGCUGAUGCAGUUCUCUAUUGCAAUUCUGGGCAGCUUUCAAAUAGCUGGAGAAUCUGGUUGUUAACUUCUCGUUUUGUUCUCCUCGGCUGAUUUCUGCUAAUUAUUGGUGACGUGGUUGUGAUUUUAAAACGUGGGGCUGUGUUUUCCUGCGCGUUCCUGUGUGAGACGAGGUCUGCUGUUGCAUUCCUGGUUCUGAUUCCCAGUUUUACAGUUGGCUUCAAUACACGGAGAUCAAAGAACAGGACGGGGCUGUGUGCUGCUUUUCUUGUACUCUUCUCCGGUUGUUCCUGGGCAGAUCCUGGCCAUCUCCUUCCUUCUGACUUUAAUCCAGUGGGACCUUUGCCUUUGUAAGGGCAUCCCAAGGCAAAGCAGUGUGCCUCAUCCAUACCUUAUGAUCUGCAGCUCCAUAUGUUUGUAGUCCAAUCUUGUGACGGUUACUACAAUAAAGCGCGACCCUGUCAGCCUGAGAUACUGAUC
rnacentral:lncRNA from 1 species